UAGAGAAUAGCCAAGUGGUAAGGCAGUAGAUUUUGGUUCUAUGACCAUAGGUUCGAAUCCUAUUUUUCUAG
rnacentral:tRNA from 1 species